rnacentral:rRNA from 1 species
UCAGUCGACUCCUACGGGGAGGCAGCAGUGGGGAAUAUUGCACAAGUCGGGGGAAACCCUGAUGCAGCCAUGCCGCGUGUGUGAAGAAGGCCUUCGGGUUGUAAAGCACUUUCAGUAGGGAGGAAGGUAGUGUAGUUAACACCUGCAUUAUUUGACGUUACCUACAGAAGAAGCACCGGCUAACUCCGUGCCAGCAGCCGCGGUAAUACGGAGGGUGCGAGCGUUAAUCGGAAUUACUGGGCGUAAAGCGCAUGCAGGCGGCCUGUUAAGUCAGAUGUGAAAGCCCGGGGCUUAACCUCGGAAUUGCAUUUGAAACUGGCAGGCUAGAGUCUUGUAGAGGGGGGUAGGAAUUUCAGGUGUAGCGGUGAAAUGCGUAGAGAUCUGAAGGAAUACCAGUGGCGAAGGCGGCCCCCUGGACAAAGACUGACGCUCAGAUGCGAAAGCGUGGGGAGCAAACAGGAUUAGAUACCCUGGUAG